GUCCCAAAAAUAAAGUCUUCUGGAAAAUAACUACGGUUAAAAUCUGCUGGAAUUUCAUCAUCUUCAUCAGCUAUUGCUGGCUUAGUAAGAGCCAGCAAGCUUAUGAGGAAGAAGAGCAUCCCUAACGGCUGAAAGGACUGUUUAGGAGCCAUAAUCAUAAUGAUGGUAUUAUGAUUUCAAGUGCUUGUGUGGGUUUUCACUUCUUGGCAUUGCCCCUUAUAUAGAGUUCAAAAGCAAUGGCAUGAAUUGCUGGAACAAAUGAGGUGAAUCCUUGGGGUAGUCUACAUGGUGCAAGCUGAACCUUCAAGUAUAACCAUAGAUGAUUUCAAGUUUCCCAAGAAAGUAACCUUUGACAGUAACUCUGUACUCCCUCCUCAAUCAUCAUUAUGUAUAUUACUUAAUUAGGGAUUAUACCAAACUUGUAUAUUAAUAUCUUAAUUAAUAUAUCUUGGCUUAGCCUACACUUCUGCAAAUAUUAAAAAUGAUCGGUAAUUUGGCCCACACUUUGGUGAGCAUGGUUAAUUGCAGUUUUACCAAACUUGACAAGAUUUAAAAACCCUAUUUGAGAACCUUAGAGGUGCAAGGUUCCAAAACAAAUUGUUUUGGAUUCAGGUCAUCUUGAAUGUGGGGAGGGCUGGAUUUUAUAAACUAUAGAUUGAUUCGGAUCACCCAUUAAGUGUCAAUUUUGAAUUGCAUUCAUUUCGAUUUUUUUCUUUAAGAAAAGUUUUACAUAUUCAUUUUGUUAUUUUUGUGGCUUGAAUUU
rnacentral:misc_RNA from 1 species